rnacentral:rRNA from 1 species
CAGCCGCCGCGGUAAUACGAAGGGGGCUAGCGUUGCUCGGAAUGACUGGGCGUAAAGGGCGCGUAGGCGGCGAUCAAAGUCAGGCGUGAAAUUCCUGGGCUCAACCUGGGGGCUGCGCUUGAUACUUGGUUGCUUGAGUGGGGAAGAGGGUCGUGGAAUUCCCAGUGUAGAGGUGAAAUUCGUAGAUAUUGGGAAGAACACCGGUGGCGAAGGCGGCUCACUGGACCGACACUGACGCUGAGGCGCGAAAGCGUGGGGAGCAAACAGGAUUAGAUACCCGGGUAGUCCCUGUCUCUUAUAC